GGAAUCUUUCACAAUGGGCGAAAGCCUGAUGGAGCAACGCCGCGUGCAGGAUGACGGCCUUCGGGUUGUAAACUGCUUUUAUAACCGAGAAAUAUGAUGGUAGGUUUUGAAUAAGGACCGGCUAACUACGUGCCAGCAGCCGCGGUCAUACGUAGGGUCCAAGCAUUAUCCGGAUUGACUGGGUGUAAAGAGUUGCGUAGGUGGUUUGUUAAGUAGGUAGUGAAAUCUGGUGGCUCAACCAUUCAGACUAUUACCUAAACUGAUAGACUCGAGAAUGUUAGGGGUAACUGGAAUUUCUAGUGUAGGAGUGAAAUCCGUAGAUAUUAGAAAGAACACCGAUAGCGUAGGCAGGUUACUGGAACAUUUCUGACACUAAGGCACGAAAGCGUAGGGAGCAAACG
rnacentral:rRNA from 1 species